CAGGGGGAAUUACCCAAGAAAACCAUAUGAAAUGGGACGACCAUGCAGUGGAUGCAGUAAUGAGAAGUGUGUAGACAGGCUCUGUGAAAAUACAGAACGUGAGAAGCUGAUAAAUUAUGCCUACUGGUAUCCAGACUGGGAUUCACAGCCCCAGCCACCGCGGCCCCGUCCCCCUCGCCCUCCCACGCCAUCGUACAUCCCACCUGCUGAGGACCCGCAUCCCUCUUGUGACCAAUACUGUCUUAGUGUUAUUAUUUUAAGGCUACUGUUUUUGGUACUGAGUGCUGUUGCUGUUCUUUUAGUACAACGGCGGUUUCCACAUGCAUUUUUUUAUGAGUAAAGAUCAAUUAAGAUACUGAUAGUGAUCCUACCACUGUAUUACUCUCAGAGAAUUGCACACAUUUAAAAAAACAUUUGAUCAUCUCUCCAUUAUACUUGUGAUGUUUAUACAGCAUAGAAAAGGCUGCUUCUUCACUCAGGGCAAGAUACAAGUGGCUGUUCGUAGAGUUAGUAUAAUUUAUUGGCAGUAGCUGCAACACGCUUCUGUGUCUGUACAAGCCUCUUAGCUCUGGCUCAGGGGUAAAUAGCUAGAAGGACCACGUAGACUACAUGUUACUAUAUAUGCUAACAAGCCUCCUGGAAACGUGGGGCAUCACAAAGACAUAUCUGAAGCAGCACACUGUAUCCAAAAGAAGCAAUAACUCAUCUCCAUUAACCUUCAGUUAUCCCAGACAUCAUUUUCCCUAGAUAAUGGAGAUUUAACUGUAUGUAUUACUUUUUAUGAACAUAAGGACUAAAGCUUGUCCUUUACUAUAUUUAGCCUAUAUGUAUCAUUCUCCAUUAAAAUUACUCUAUUGUCAGUUGUACUAUUCUAUUCUUCUCCUCUGAGAGUUAAGCUUUGUCCUCCAUAGCUAGAAGAAUACAGGGAAAGUUGGUAGAGCAAGAAUUAAGAUGGGGUGUAAAUGGGGAGAGCUUAAUUUUAGAAUGCAAGAUGGUGAUAAAAUCUGAAAUGCAGAGUAGAUGACAACCAUCCCGAGCUUGCAGGCAGGGGAAGGGGGAAACAGGGAAAAAAAGGAGAGGGAAGAUUAAAUG
rnacentral:lncRNA from 1 species